ACUUAUUUUUUGGUUGGUAUUUAAUUCAAAUGACACAGAGAUUAGCAUGGCUCCUGCUCAAGGAUGACAUGAAAAUUCAUGAAUUCAAUAUUUUA
rnacentral:snRNA from 1 species